AGAGUUUGAUCAUGGCUCAGAGCGAACGCUGGCGGCAGGCUUAACACAUGCAAGUCGAGCGGGCGUAGCAAUACGUCAGCGGCAGACGGGAGAGUAACACGUGGGAACGCGCCCUUCGGUUCGGAAUAACUCAGGGAAACUUGAGCUAAUACCGGAUACGCCCUAACGGGGAAAGAUUUAUCGCCGAAGGAACGGCCCGCGUCUGAUUAGCUAGUUGGUGAGGUAAUGGCUCACCAAGGCGACGAUCAGUAGCUGGUCUGAGAGGAUGGCCAGCCUCACUGGGACUGAGACACGGCCCAGACUCCUACGGGAGGCAGCAGUGGGGAAUAUUGGACAAUGGGCGCAAGCCUGAUCCAGCCAUGCCGCGUGGAUGAUGAAGGCCCUAGGGUUGUAAAGUCCUUUUAACGGGGAAGAUAAUGACGGUACCCGUAGAAUAAGCCCCGGCUAACUUCGUGCCAGCAGCCGCGGUAAUCAAUCGCC
rnacentral:rRNA from 1 species